UAUGGCAAAACGGAUUCGUUACAAGCUGUCCGACUUGACUGAUGAACAGUUGCUGGACUUGUUUGAGUCAGUCCCGUCGGAUGAGGAAGUGUCAGACAUAUCAAGUGACGACGGGGACGACGACUUGAAUUUGGAAGAAGCUCUGACCAAUGCACUAGAGGACGCUGAGACUGUAUCAUUUAUAGACUGUAAUGUUGAAAAUGUGCAAAAUGUGGUAAAGGAACCUGGGCCAUCACGGAAAACCGCCAAAAGGCCUCGAUCGCCAUUACCAAUUAUGGACGAAACAUAUUGCAAACAUAUCUUCGCCAUCUUCUGGUGGCUUCAAUGGUUUUGUGGUAGUAUUGGCGUGAGUCGAUAGUCCUCACUCUGAUCGCCCACCACCAAGGAUUGGUCCAUCUCAAAGUCGUCGUCGUUGGUAUGUCAGUAGUUGAGUUGGUCGGCAGAUGUCAGAAAGUAAAGUUGAAUAAGUUGUUUCUAAAGUCGUCAAAAUCAGCAGUUCUGUUAAUUACAUAUAAUCAAAACCUUUAAACAUUAUACAUUCAUAUAUCCUACUUGUGUACUCAAUAAUAAUACUCAAUAAAACACUGAUAAUAUAAAAUUAUCUUACAUGGGGGCUCAACCUACGAAAGUAUACAUGUGAUUACGCACACAACGAUAAUGAUGAUGCGUUCAGCUAAAAAGAACAAAAAGCAAAGCGGACCAAAUGAGAAGCAACAAAGAGGACAGCAGAAUAAAGAAAGAAUAGAGGCUGAUGAAGGAAGAGUAAAAACGGACGAAGAGAAGACACCAGAGGCGAAAACAGGAGAAGCUGUCAAAAUGGACAUAAACAAAACUUUUUUUGUCCCAUUUGACGAAAUAGAAGAACCAGAAGAAAAAACAGAGAGCGAACAACAUGUUGGGCUUCGUGGCGCACCAACAGAAGUCACGAUCCACCACGACGCAAAAUACUCAAAUAUCAGCGCGGAGAUGAGCAACAACAACGAAUAGAGUGAGGUGCUCAAACUGCUGGCAACAAAAAUUACACAAAACGAUUCCAGUAAAAAUAAUAUCCCAAUCGAGAGCUUUUCUAAGGUUGUUCCUGAGUUUGAUGGAGUGUCAAUUCCAAUUAAGCAGUGGAUAAAAUGUUUUGAUGAAAAUGCCGACGCCUACGAAUUGACUGACAAGCAGAAAUAUGUGAACGCUCGUAUAAAAAUUAAGGGAACAGCAAAGUUAUUCCUGGAGACCACCACUGUGUCGGAUUAUCAUACGUUGAUUGGAUUGCUGUUGGAUGAAUUUGACAAGACCCUGACCAGCGCUGAGGUACAUAAGCAGCUAAGCGAACGAAAGAAACACGAAAACGAGAAUUUUCACGAAUACGUCUUAAAUAUGCGAAAGAUAGCUGCUCUUGGAUGUGUAGAUGAUGAGUCGGUGAUCCGUUAUAUAGCCGAGGGAGUAAAGCUGCGUGACGAUCUAAAAUAUCCCUUAUACAGUGCUUCAACAUUCAAGGAACUACGAAGCCGAUUCGAAACAAUCGAAAUUAUGACAAAAUCAGCAGUGGACCGCAAACAAGCAGCGAAAAAGUAUGACGUCGGUAAAGCAGGAACUCUGGGAAAACGAUUUGACCAGAAUCAAAGGCAUUGUUUCAACUGUGGAUCAACGCAACAUAUGAGAGCCGAAUGCAAGGAAGAUACUAAGUGCUUUAAAUGCAACGGCAGUGGACAUACAUCCCGUGAUUGUCUGGGCUUAAAACCAAGCGUCAAUAUAAUCAGCGAGACAAGGGAAAAGGUGCUGUUCAUCAAUAAUAAAACUGUGUCAUGUCUAGUCGAUACAGGAGCUGACGUGUCUCUUAUGCGAAUGAAAAUAUACAAGGAGAAAUUUGCUGAAUAUCCACUGCAGAAAAGUUUUGCUAAAUUGUACGGCCUAGGAAACAUUGUCACAUCUGUGCUGGGUGCGUUAGAUGUGCAAGUGCUGGUUGAUGGAAUUCGUACGGAACAUAAAUUUCUCAUCGUUCCCGAUACAAAACUCAAUGUUAACAUAAUUAUUGGCUACGACUUUCUCAAAAAAUUUAUUGUUGUUUUGGAAAAUGGAAAGUAUGCUUUUACAGAAGGAGAUAGCAUCGUUGAGGCAGAGGCUGAUCAUAAUGUUUUCAAUGUGGUAAGUCAGGACAUGGAAUUAGACGUUCCUCAAAAAUACCAAGCAGCAGUCAAGCAGUUAAUUGAUAAUUACAAGCCGUCUAAAGUUGAGCGAACCUGUCCUAUAAAGAUGACAAUU